UUUUUCUUUGUUUGCUUGUUUGUUUGAAUCAUCUGAGAUACUUCCUGGAGAUAGAGCCCAGACUGGCUGGCCUAGGCUCCAGGUCCUCCUGCCUCGGCUUCUCUAAUGUUGGGAUUACAGCACUCGGGAGACAGAGGCAGGAGGGAUCUCUGAGUUGGAGGACAUCCGGGUCUACAGAGGAGAACACAGGAUCCAAGACCGGGGCAGCUGCGUCUUUUCUGCCUUCCAGGGUCAGCCCAGUGCCUGGCACCAAGAAGAACCAGGCACAUGUGUGGAAUGUAAAGCGAAGGACUAAAAACGCCUCACGAUUAUCCCGAUCUGUCCUGCGGAGAAGCGAGCGGGAGUAGAGGCAGCGAGGGUAGACAGGCUUUCCUGUCUGGAAUGCGGGAUUCUGCUGCAGUUGCCGGGCUAGGACCAGAGAGCCAGACCAGCUCGCAUCUUGGAGCUCGCACGCCGAGGGUCUGAGAGCGCCGGACAACUUGCACCUCCAACAAGUUUGCCGGGCUCUUGGGCACCACGGACCCAGGAGACUCAGAAGCGCUGCGCCGAGGUUCCCUGCAGUCCCUGGGCUAUACGGGUCGCC
rnacentral:lncRNA from 1 species